CACGGGAGAGUAACACGUGGGAACGCCCAUUAAAAAAACGGAAUAACCCAGGGAAACUUGGGCUAAUACCGGACCUUCCCGUAAGGAGAAAGAUUUAUUGCCGAGGGAUCGGCCCGCGUCCGAUUAUCUUGUUGGUGGGGUAAUGGCCUACCAAGGCGACCAUCGGUAGCUGGUCUGAGAGGAUGAUCAGCCUCACUGGGACCGAGACACGGCCCAGACUCCUACGGGAGGCAGCAGUGGGGAAUAUUGGACAAUGGGCGCAAGCCUGAUCCACCCAUGCCGCGUGGGUGAUGAAGGCCUUAUGGUUGUAAAGCCCUUUCGGCGGGGAAGAUAAUGACGGUACCCGCAGAAGAACCCCCGGCUAACUUCGUGCCAGCAGCCGCUGUAUUACAAAGGGGGCUAGCUUCGCUCGGAAUCACGGGGCGUAAAGCGCACGUAGGCGGUUCCUUAAGUCAGGGGUGAAAUCCUGGAUCUCAACUCCACAAUUGCCUUUGA
rnacentral:rRNA from 1 species